rnacentral:tRNA from 1 species
UCCCUAGUGGUCAAGUGGCUAAGACUCCGUAUUCCCAGUGCAGAGGCCCCAGGGUUCGAUCCCUGAUUAGGGAA